GAGGUUGUGGCUCAGUGGUAGAGCACAUGCCUAGCUAGCAUGUGUGUGGGUUCAAUCCUCAGCACUACA
rnacentral:tRNA from 1 species